AUUGAACUAAUAGAGGUAGGUCCGAACACGGGAAAAGACUGGUUAUAUGAAUUGGGUCUGUUAGUGUCACAAUUGACUGUAUUCUGGCUAUCUAAAAUCAAGUAUCAACCUAUAAAAUACUGAGGCUUACUACUUCCAUCUUAAUUCAACCUAUAAUCCAUUCUAUGAUUAUCAAUUCAACAAUACUUCUCUCAAUCACCAUUCUUCAUAAGCAAAUAAUAAAGAAAACAAAGAGGUAGCACCAAGCUUACUCUGACUUACGACUCU
rnacentral:lncRNA from 1 species